rnacentral:misc_RNA from 1 species
AAAGUCGUAACAAGGUCUCCGUUGGUGAACCAGCGGAGGGAUCAUUACCGAGUUUCCAACUCACAACCCAUUGUGAACAUACCUAUGUUGCUUCGGCGGUUCCACGGCUCCGGCCGCGCCGCCGAAGGCCCAAAACUCUUGUAUUACCAUGUGUUUACUCUGAGUAUUCUUGAAAUAAAUCAAAACCUUCAACAACGGAUCUCUUGGCUCUG